GGGGCUGUGGAUUAGCGGAAGAUCGUUCGCUUGGCAUGCGAAAGGCCGGGGGUUCAAUAAAUAAGCGGGAUUUACCCGUCAUGUGAGAAUCCCCCCAGCUCCA
rnacentral:tRNA from 1 species